UACGUAGGGUGCAAGCGUUGUUCGGAAUUACUGGGCGUAAAGCGCACGUAGGCGGACUGUUAAGUCGGGGGUGAAAUCCUGGGGCUCAACCUCAGAAUUGCCUCCGAUACUGGCAGUCUCGAGUGCGGGAGAGGUGAGUGGAAUUCCCAGUGUAGAGGUGAAAUUCGUAGAUAUUCGCAAGAACACCAGUGGCGAAGGCGGCUCACUGGCCCGAUACUGACGCUGAGGUGCGAAAGCGUGGGGAGCAAACAGG
rnacentral:rRNA from 1 species